UGGGGAAUCUUGCGCAAUGGGCGAAAGCCUGACGCAGCGACGCCGCGUGCGGGAAGAAGGCCUUCGGGUUGUAAACCGCUUUCAGGAGGGACGAAGCCACUCGGGUGAAUAGCCCAGAGGGUGACGGUACCUCCAGAAGAAGCCCCGGCUAACUACGUGCCAGCAGCCGCGGUAAUACGUAGGGGGCAAGCGUUGUCCGGAUUCAUUGGGCGUAAAGAGCGUGUAGGCGGCCAGGUAGGUCGGUUGUGAAAACUGGAGGCUCAACCUUCAGAGGUCGAUCGAAACCAUCUGGCUAGAGUCCGGGAGAGGGGAGUGGAAUUCCUAGUGUAGCGGUGAAAUGCGCAGAUAUCAGGAAGAACACCCGUGGCGAAAGCGGCUCUCUGGAACGGUACUGACGCUGAGACGCGAAAGCGUGGGGAGCGAACAGGAUUAGAUACCCUGGUAGUCCACGCCGUAAACGAUGGGCGCUAGGUGUGGGAGGUGUCGACUCCUUCCGUGCCGCAGCUAACG
rnacentral:rRNA from 1 species